rnacentral:rRNA from 1 species
AUUGAACGCUGGCGGCAUGCUUUACACAUGCAAGUCGAACGGCAGCACGAAGGAGCUUGCUCUUUUGGUGGCGAGUGGCGAACGGGUGAGUAAUGCAUCGGAACGUACCGAGUAAUGGGGAUAACUUUCCGAAAGGAUAGCUAAUACCGCAUACGCUUUGAGAAGGAAAGUGGGGGCUCUUCGGACCUCACGUUAUUCGAGCGGCCGAUGUCUGAUUAGCUAGUUGGUGGGGUAAAGGCCUACCAAGGCGACGAUCAGUAGCGGGUCUGAGAGGAUGAUCCGCCACACUGGGACUGAGACACGGCCCAGACUCCUACGGGAGGCAGCAGUGGGGAAUGUUGGACAAUGGGCGCAAGCCUGAUCCAGCCAUGCCGCGUGUCUGAAGAAGGCCUUCGGGUUGUAAAGGACUUUUGUUAGGGAAGAAAAGGAUAGUGUUAAUACCAUUAUCUGCUGACGGUACCUAAAGAAUAAGCACCGGCUAACUACGUG